rnacentral:rRNA from 1 species
UACGUAGGUGGCUAGCGUUGUCCGGAUUUACUGGGCGUAAAGAGCGCGCAGGCGGUCGUUCAAGUCGGGUGUGAAAGCCCCCGGCUCAACUGGGGAGGGUCAUUCGAUACUGAUCGACUUGAAGGCAGGAGAGGGUAGUGGAAUUCCCGGUGUAGUGGUGAAAUGCGUAGAUAUCGGGAGGAACACCAGUGGCGAAGGCGACUACCUGGCCUGUUCUUGACGCUGAGGCGCGAAAGCUGGGGGAGCAAACGGG